GAUGAACGCUGGCGGCGUGCCUAACACAUGCAAGUCGAACGGAGUUAUUUUGGAAAGUCCUUCGGGACUGGAAUCUAUAACUUAGUGGCGGACGGGUGAGUAACGCGUGAGCAAUCUGCCUUUAGGAGGGGGAUAACAGUCGGAAACGGCUGCUAAUACCGCAUAAUGCAUCAAUUUCGCAUGUUAUUGAUGCCAAAGGAGCAAUCCGCCUUUAGAUGAGCUCGCGUCUGAUUAGCUAGUUGGCGGGGUAACGGCCCACCAAGGCGACGAUCAGUAGCCGGACUGAGAGGUUGAACGGCCACAUUGGGACUGAGACACGGCCCAG
rnacentral:rRNA from 1 species